rnacentral:snRNA from 1 species
CUGGAGAAGCGUCCUCAG